GAUGAACGCUGGCGGCGUGCCUAAUACAUGCAAGUCGAGCGAACAGACGAGGAGCUUGCUCCUCUGACGUUAGCGGCGGACGGGUGAGUAACACGUGGAUAACCUACCUAUAAGACUGGGAUAACUUCGGGAAACCGGAGCUAAUACCGGAUAAUAUAUUGAACCGCAUGGUUCAAUAGUGAAAGACGGUUUUGCUGUCACUUAUAGAUGGAUCCGCGCCGCAUUAGCUAGUUGGUAAGGUAACGGCUUACCAAGGCAACGAUGCGUAGCCGACCUGAGAGGGUGAUCGGCCACACUAGAACUGAGACACGGUCCAGACUCCUACGGGAGGCAGCAGUAGGGAAUCUUCCGCAAUGGGCGAAAGCCUGACAGAGCAACGCCGCGUGAGUGAUGAAGGUCUUCGGAUCGUAAAACUCUGUUAUUAGGGAAGAACAAAUGUGUAAGUAACUAUGCACGUCUUGACGGUACCUAAUCAGAAAGCCACGGCUAACUACGUG
rnacentral:rRNA from 1 species